UACAGAGGUCUCAAGCGUUGUUCGGAUUCAUUGGGCGUAAAGGGCGCGUAGGCGGCCACCGCAAGUCGGUUGUGAAAUCUCUGGGCUUAACCCAGAAAGGUCAACCGAUACUGCGGGGCUAGAGUGCAGAAGGGGCAACUGGAAUUCUCGGUGUAGCGGUGAAAUGCGUAGAUAUCGAGAGGAACACCUGCGGCGAAGGCGGGUUGCUGGGCUGACACUGACGCUGAUGCGCGAAAGCUAGGGGAGCGAACGGGAUUAGAUACCCCGUG
rnacentral:rRNA from 1 species